AAACAAAGGAACACAAACAAGCUUUCAAUCAAAAAGCAAAACCCUCAAUAACAAAUAUGAAGCAACUUCAGAAAUAUCAGAUUACAGAUAUUCUUCAACAACACAAAUACUAUAAAAAUCCACAAAUCUUAUUCCAACACUUGUACCGAGUUUCCCUCAAGUCGAAAGACCGUACUAGUUGUUACUUAUAACACACGUCUUUUUGCUUCAAUAGUAUUCCUUUAACCCUUUUCACAUGGUUCACGCAUCCAUCAAGCUUCCUUUGCUACCCUUAAAGCUUGCAGAGGGCAUUAUCCGUCAACCGUCAAUUCAAUCCAGCCAUGGGUUCCCCGUGGAAGGCUUCCUCGAGCGUCUUGUGGCCUUCCACACCAGGCUGUUGCACUUGAACCCGGAACCGAACGAGAGCUGCCAAACCCGGUCCCCUCUCUUCACCAUCUCUUUUGCCUCCAAGUAAGCCAGCUCGUACCAUAUGCUGCUGCUGGAAGUGUUGCCAAACCUGUGCAGAGUCAUUCUGGACGCUUCGACGUUCUUGUCGCUCAGUUCGAGGUUCCUCUGCAGUUCGUCCAGCACGGUCUUGCUCGCUGCGUGAACACAGAAGUGCUCGAAUGCCAGCUUGUAGUUUGGAAUAUAAGGCUUUGAGGAUGCUGCUGCUGCAGUGCCGGGUUUAUUGCUCUGGGUUUUUCCAAAGAGGUGCCUUUUGACGAGGGUGGCAAAGAAGAGGACUUGCUCUGAGAAUGGUAGCACUAAUGGACCUAGAGUUGUG
rnacentral:lncRNA from 1 species